rfam:Candidatus Nomurabacteria bacterium RIFCSPLOWO2_01_FTLL_33_24 rifcsplowo2_01_scaffold_787, whole genome shotgun sequence.
GCUCCUGUGGUGAAAUGGAUAUCAUAACGGUCUUCGGAACCGUCGUUGGGGGUUCGAAUCCCUCCAGGAGCG